rnacentral:rRNA from 1 species
UGGGGAAUAUUGCACAAUGGAGGGAACUCUGAUGCAGCGACGCCGCGUGAACGAAGAAGGCUUUCGAGUCGUAAAGUUCUUUUAUAUGGGAGGUUAAUAACGGUACAAUAAAAAAAAGCCCCGGCUAACUACGUGCAAGCAGCCGCGGUAAUACGUAGGGGGUUAGCGUUGUCCGGAAUCAUUGGGCGUAAAGGGUUCGCAGGCGGAAAUGCAAGUCAGGUGUAAAAGGCAGUAGCUUAACUACUGUAAGCAUUUGAAACUGCAUAUCUUGAGAAGAGUAGAAGUAAGUGGAAUUUUUAGUGUAGCGGUGAAAUGCGUAGAUAUUAAAAAGAAUACCUGUGGCGAAGGCGACUUACUGGGCUCAUUCUGACGCUGAGGAACGAAAGCGUGGGUAGCAAACAGG